rnacentral:rRNA from 1 species
UAAUACGUAGGGGGCUAGCGUUAUCCGGAUUUACUGGGCGUAAAGGGUGCGUAGGCGGUCUUUCAAGUCAGGAGUGAAAGGCUACGGCUCAACCGUAGUAAGCUCUUGAAACUGUAAGACUUGAGUGCAGGAGAGGAGAGUGGAAUUCCUAGUGUAGCGGUGAAAUGCGUAGAUAUUAGGAGGAACACCAGUUGCGAAGGCGGCUCUCUGGACUGUAACUGACGCUGAGGCACGAAAGCGUGGGGAGCAAACAGGAUUAGAUACCCUGGUAGUCCACGCCGUAAACGAUGAGUACUAGCUGUCGGAGGUUACCCCCUUCGGUGGCGCAGCUAACGCAUUAAGUACUCCGCCUGGGAAGUACGCUCGCAAGAGUG